rnacentral:rRNA from 1 species
UACGUAGGGGGCAAGCGUUGUCCGGAAUCAUUGGGCGGAAAGAGCGUGUAGGCGGCCAGAAAAGUCCGCUGUGAAAACUCGAGGCUCAACUUCGAGCUGUCGGUGGAAACUUUCUGGCUAGAGUCCGGAAGAGGAGAAUGGAAUUCCUGGUGUAGCGGUGAAAUGCGCAGAUAUCAGGAAGAACACCCGUGGCGAAGGCGGUUCUCUGGGACGGUACUGACGCUGAGACGCGAAAGCGUGGGGAGCGAACAGG